GUGGAAGCUCAGGGGCACAGACCUGCUCAUCUGGAACAGCUGUGGACCUUACCUGCACAGAUCCUGAUGAUGUCAGACUGGUGAGAGGACCCAGUCGCUGCAAAGGUGUUGUAGAGAUCAAACAUCAUGGAGAAUGGAGAGACAUGGGACAUUAUUCUCCCUCUGACUCCUGGACCCUGAAGGCAGCAGAUGCCAUAUGUCGUCGAGUGGACUGUGGAUCUGCUGUUUCUGUGGUAGCUGGUCCAACUUAUGACAAGUGGUUCUUCAGCCCCCACUGUCUUCUCUCUACAUCUACACUGACGGACUGUGUGACAACACGUCCACUGUCCAUUGGCUCCGCCCCGUACCUCACCUGUUCAGACUCUGUCAGACUGGUCCAUGGUUCCAGUCUGUGUUCAGGCAGACUG